AUAACUUCGGGAAACCGGAGCUAAUACCGGAUAAUAUAUUGAACCGCAUGGUUCAAUAGUGAAAGAUGGUUUUGCUGUCACUUAUAGAUGGAUCCGCGCCGCAUUAGCUAGUUGGUAAGGUAACGGCUUACCAAGGCAACGAUGCGUAGCCGACCUGAGAGGGUGAUCGGCCACACUGGAACUGAGACACGGUCCAG
rnacentral:rRNA from 1 species